rnacentral:rRNA from 1 species
AUGCAACAAAUCUGGUCCAUUGAUCAAGCACAAGCUCUAGCCUUAAAGGCCGAGAGGUUUGUGAGGACAAGAAAUACAACUAAGGCUCCAUAUCCUCAUACUGAAGGCUCGUCUAGGGAUCACACUAAUAGAGUGGAAGAAAAGACCACUCCAUCGAAGGCAAAACAAACAAUCCCGAAGCAAACUAGAGGCAAGGGUAAGGCAAAUGAAGGCCCAAAGUGCUAUAAAUGUGGUAAAGAGGGACACAUAUCCAACGGUUGCCCAUUAAGAAAAUUUGUUAACACUGCUAUUCAUGAUGGUGAAGACGAUGAGGAAAAAUAUGAAUCUGAAGAUGUAGAGGGACAAGAGGUUUGUCAAGAAGAAGGUGAAGAGGUGGUAUGUGUGAUUUAG